rnacentral:rRNA from 1 species
AUUGAUCAUGGCUCAGAGUGCCGCUGGCNGAGUAGGCCUAACACAUGCAAGUCGAACGGCAGCACAGGAGAGCUUGCUCUCUGGGUGGCGAGUGGCGGACGGGUGAGGAAUACAUCGGAAUCUACUCUGUCGUGGGGGAUAACGUAGGGAAACUUACGACUAAUACCGCAUACGACCUACGGGUGAAAGCAGGGGAUCUUCGGACCUUGCGCGAUUGAAUGAGCCGAUGUCGGAUUAGCUAGUUGGCGGGGUAAAGGCCCACCAAGGCGACGAUCCGUAGCUGGUCUGAGAGGAUGAUCAGUCCACACUGGAACUGAGACACAGUCCAGACUCCUACGGGAGGCAGCAGUGGUGNGAAUAUACGGACAAUGGGCGCAAGCCUGAUCCAGCCAUACCGCGUGGGUAGAAGAAGGCCUUCGGGAUUGUAAAGCC